GAUCUGGCUCAGGAUGAACGCUAGCGACAGGCUUAACACAUGCAAGUCGAGGGGCAGCACAGGUAGCAAUACCGGGGUGGUCGACCGGCGGCACGGGUGAGUAACGCGUAUGCAACUUGCCUAUCAGAGGGGGAUAACCCGGCGAAAGUCGGACUAAUACCGCAUGAAGCAGGGGCCCCGCAUGGGGAUAUUUGCUAAAGAUUCAUCGCUGAUAGAUAGGCAUGCGUUCCAUUAGG
rnacentral:rRNA from 1 species